GACGAACGCUGGCGGCGUGCUUAACACAUGCAAGUCGAACGGAAAGGCCUGCUUUCCCUUGUGGAUUGCGGGUACUCGAGUGGCGAACGGGUGAGUAACACGUGAGUGAUCUGCCCCCAACUUGGGUAUAAGCCUGGGAAACUGGGUCUAAUUCCCGAUAGGACUGCAGGGUGGUGCCUGUGGUGGAAAACGAUUUUCUAGUGGUUGGGGAUGAGCUCGCGGCCUAUCAGCUGGUUGGUGGGGUAAUGGCCUACCAAGGCGGCGACGGGUAGCCGGCCUGAGGGGGUGGACGGCCACAUUGGGACUGAGAUACGGCCCAGGGUCCUACGGGAGGCAGCAGUGGGGAAGAGUGGACGAUGGGCGGAAGCCUGAUGCAGCGACGCCGGGUGGGGGAUGACGGCCUUCGGGUUGUAAGCUCCUUUCGACCGCGAGGAAGCCACCUGGUUGGAAGGGUGGUGACGGUAGUGGUAGAAGAAGCACCGGCUAACUACGUG
rnacentral:rRNA from 1 species